rnacentral:rRNA from 1 species
UACGUAGGGGGCAAGCGUUGUCCGGAUUUAUUGGGCGUAAAGAGCGUGUAGGCGGCUAUUUAAGUCCUGCGUGAAAUCCUGCGGCUCAACCGCAGACGGUCGUGGGAAACUGGAUGGCUAGAGUGCGGGAGAGGAGAGUGGAAUUCCCGGUGUAGUGGUGAUAUGCGUAGAUAUCGGGAGGAACACCUGUGGCGAAGGCGGCUUUCUGGGCCCUACCUGACGCUGAGACGCGAAAGCGUGGGGAGCGAACCGG